rnacentral:rRNA from 1 species
GAUGAACGCUGCCGGCGUGCCUAAUACAUGCAAGUCGAGCGAACGGACGAGAAGCUUGCUUCUCUGAUGUUAGCGGCGGACGGGUGAGUAACACGUGGAUAACCUACCUAUAAGACUGGGAUAACUUCGGGAAACCGGAGCUAAUACCGGAUGAUAUUUUGAACCGCAUGGUUCAAAAGUGAAAGACGGUCUUGCUGUCACUUAUAGAUGGAUCCGCGCUGCAUUAGCUAGUUGGUAAGGUAACGGCUUACCAAGGCAACGAUGCAUAGCCGACCUGAGAGGGUGAUCGGCCACACUGGAACUGAGACACGGUCCAGACUCCUACGGGAGGCAGCAGUAGGGAAUCUUCCGCAAUGGGCGAAAGCCUGACGGAGCAACGCCGCGUGAGUGAUGAAGGUCUUCGGAUCGUAAAACUCUGUUAUUAGGGAAGAACAUAUGUGUAAGUAACUGUGCACAUCUUGACGGUACCUAAUCAGAAAGCCACGGCUAACUACGUG